UCCCAAAAUAUUGGGACAUAUAAAAAAGACAACUCUGUUCCUCAGAGUAGCUGUUGACAUUAUAGUUGCACAGGCACUUUGUUGACUCUAGAGAACCUCGGACCAGUCGUACAUCCCCGUGACGGCGAAUUUGCAUUUGAAUGUCAUCCAUAUCAACUUUCGACGCCAGUUUCUGCGCCUACCAUGGUGACCACGGGUAACGGAGAAUCAGGGUUCCAUUCCAUACAGGGACCCUGAGAAACAGCUACCAUAUGCAAGGAAGGCAGCAGGCGUGCAAAUGACCCACUCCUGAUGCGGGAAGGUAAUGACGA